rnacentral:rRNA from 1 species
UAGCUUGCUACUUUGCCGGCGAGCGGCGGACGGGUGAGUAAUGUCUGGGAAACUGCCUGAUGGAGGGGGAUAACUACUGGAAACGGUAGCUAAUACCGCAUGACCUCGAAAGAGCAAAGUGGGGGAUCUUCGGACCUCACGCCAUCGGAUGUGCCCAGAUGGGAUUAGCUAGUAGGUGAGGUAAUGGCUCACCUAGGCGACGAUCCCUAGCUGGUCUGAGAGGAUGACCAGCCACACUGGAACUGAGACACGGUCCAGACUCCUACGGGAGGCAGCAGUGGGGAAUAUUGCACAAUGGGCGCAAGCCUGAUGCAGCCAUGCCGCGUGUGUGAAGAAGGCCUUAGGGUUGUAAAGCACUUUCAGCGAGGAGGAAGGCAUCACACUUAAUACGUGUGGUGAUUGACGUUACUCGCAGAAGAAGCACCGGCUAACUCCGUGCCAGCAGCCGCGGUAAUACGGAGGGUGCAAGCGUUAAUCGGAAUUACUGGGCGUAAAGCGCACGCAGGCGGUUUGUUAAGUCAGAUGUGAAAUCCCCGCGCUUAACGUGGGAACUGCAUUUGAAACUGGCAAGCUAGAGUCUUGUAGAGGGGGGUAGAAUUCCAGGUGUAGCGGUGAAAUGCGUAGAGAUCUGGAGGAAUACCGGUGGCGAAGGCGGCCCCCUGGACAAAGACUGACGCUCAGGUGCGAAAGCGUGGGGAGCAAACAGG